UGGACAGCCACGGGUUCUGAAGUCCUCUGCAUAUCCACAGAACAGGAUCAGCAUGGGCAGAGACAGCACACUUCUUGACACACACCCAGCCUAUGCACUGGCUUGGAGGCACCAUCUAUAUGGGUCACAGAGUCUAUUACUUCUUUGGUAUUUCUGCCAGUGGAUUUU
rnacentral:sRNA from 1 species